rnacentral:rRNA from 1 species
UACAGAGGGUGCGAGCGUUGUUCGGAAUUACUGGGCGUAAAGCGUGCGCAGGCGGUUAUGCAAGACAGAUGUGAAAUCCCCGGGCUCAACCUGGGAACUGCAUUUGUGACUGCAUAGCUAGAGUACGGUAGAGGGGGAUGGAAUUCCGCGUGUAGCAGUGAAAUGCGUAGAUAUGCGGAGGAACACCGAUGGCGAAGGCAAUCCCCUGG